rnacentral:lncRNA from 1 species
ACUAUGUACCUGGGAUGUCUUGCUCACAUUAACAGACUGUUUUAGGGAACGCUUGUAAGGCAACCUCUGAAAGCCUAUUUUUGGGGAGGGAAGCAGCUCUUAGAAUCUGCUUGCAUUGCUUUUAAAGUCUGACCCUCUGUGUCUGAAGUUCUUACUGUUGCUCUUGGGAGGGUCAUGUAACUAGCUACAUUUCUCAUUGCAAACAAGCAAAAGCAGGGUGCCUCACAGAGUAAGACUCACAUUCAAAUUGCCAUCCAUGACCAAUCUGUUGGCAUUGGUGGGCAGUCUCCCUUAGCCUGUGCCCAAGGAGAAGCAAGAUAUGCCACCUCAGGGCUCUAAAAACCCAAAUCCCCACUUCUUAGUAGGAGAACCACACUGAGUCAUGAUGCAAAAAAACCAUAACAAAACACCCAUAACUAAAGUGCAAAUUCAAGCGAUCCUUUGAAAUCACAGUUUUAAAAAAGAGUACACUUGAAACAGAGUAAACCGGUUCAAAAGAGAAACCAAAGUUACUUGUGUUCUAUUUAACUAGAGGAAAAAAAGACUUCUGAACUGAUAGCUCAGUCUGUUCACAUUCAUAAUGUUCAAACCACAACCUACUGAGUUCUACUUGUCAAUAAUAUGGGAAGAUCUGGUUGCUAUGAUAUUUCAAAUUCUUUUUUUAUAUUUUUAAAAUUGCAUUCCCUUGGUGAUAUCUAGUCAGGAGGUGUGAUUCUAGUUUGUGUUGAACAAAUGUUUUUAACUCUAAGGUGUUAUACUAUAAUUGAGAUCUUUCCAACUACUGCUUAGAAGACAACAUUUGCAAAUGCCUGUUUUAAUUGCAAGAAACACACCCAUUCCAGAUUAUUUUGUUAUUGAUUUUCUGAGUACACAUCUAUUAUUACCAUGGUUGUGAGAUCACUUAAGAAAUAAACAAAUAUCAUUUAGAAACAGACUACAGAACCUAGUCACAUAUGAAGAGAAGAAUGCUUUAUGAUAGUUCAGACAUUGGUAGGAAAUCAAAGGAAAUUCACGUUUUUGAUUACUCACCCUAAAAUAUGCUGAAAUUGAACAUUUGCAACCCAAGUAACCAAAGAUAUAUUGAAGAAAACUAUAACUUACUACAUAUUGAGUUCAUUUCAAUCACAGUAGUCUAUUUUAAAAACAAACUCCCAUAAGGAAUAUAGGAAUGGAAUCCAUUCAAAGCAACAGCUGUCAAAAGUUCUGCCAAGAAACUCAGAGUAAUUUAUUGCAUCAUGAAAGGUGAGGUGUUCAAAAGAACAAAUAGUUCAAUCAUAUUCUUUCCCUUCAGACUUUAUUUUCUGCCUCAAUCCAAGAGAAAUAUCUAGAUCUAAAACUCAUUAAAACGUGUUUUCAUAUUCUAAGGCUGAUUAAGUAAAUAAAAUUCAACAUGGUAAAUAGAAGAAACCCUUAUAAUCCAUUUUUAGUAUUGCUAGAGGCUAGAAGACUCAACUUGGAAUCAGGUUGGCAUCCCAACUCUGCCACCAGCUACCUCUUUCUAUGGAUUCUUGGGCAAGGAACUGGCUUCUUAGGGCCUCGAUUUCCUCACAAGCAAACUGCAGGAGAUGGGUACAGGUCCUCUCAGCUCUGACAUCCUAUUCUCCAAUAAUAGUAAAAUGGGCAUAAUUUCCAGUUAAGCUGCCUCCUCUCCCAAUCAGGCCCAAAGCACUUCUCUAAUAUUUAAAGAGGAGUUAGAUCCUUAAUUAAGGCAAAUAUCUGCCUUGAUUACAACAUGCACCUCCAUUCCAGAUAUCUGCCUUUUCAUUUUGCUUCAUGUCUGCUGGAUAGGGAGGUGGCAAAAGCAAUACAUCACAUUCAAGAGAUACUGAGAUACCCAAUAAGCCCGCUACCAACUCCUACUGUGCUUUCAUCUUUGGGACUAAAGGAUCCCUAUGGAGGUAGAGCACUUAACAACAAGGUCAUUAAACCCCCAUGGAUGGGGGCAACAUGGACCCUGUCCAAGAAUUCUCCCCAAGCAGGUCUAAUUUUUGAGUAGAUUUAUACAAGAGGUAUAAUAGUGAUUUCAAUAACCCAGCCUUCCUAUAAAUCACAUUAAAGGCUCACAGAAACAUUAUCAAGAGUUAUAAUCCUAAACUGAAAGUGCACAUCCUAAAAAAACAGAGAAAUACAGGAUGAACACUAGUUAGGUAAUAAUAAUGAGAAGUGUGUAUGUAUGUAUAUGUGUGUGUGUGUAUUUAAUUGCUUUUUAAAAAUCCACUUCUAAGCAACUAAUAAACUGUGGUCACUAUUAAGUUCAGUCAAGAAGGCUGGGUAUAGAGAUUAUUGGCGUGUGCUUUAAUGCAAUGCCUAUCUUAAAACAUUGGUGAGACUAUGCAACUCACGGGGCUUUGAUCAUCCAGUGCAAGUUUUUUCCUUUAAUGAAAACCAAGCCAACUAAUGGAAACCUCAACCUCCUAAUUGGGCUCACUCUGGCACUGACUUGAUGGGGGAAAACAACAUGUCAAUAUUUUUUAAAUGCAUAAUGUAGACUAACAUUCCUUAGUUUGUAUGUCUGUUUAAUGGAUAUGAAGUGCUACGUUGAGUGAGUGCAUAUGGACUGGAAGAUUAGGAGAUAAAAUGCAUGCUAGUCUUUCCUGGAUUGAAUAUAACAAAAGGCAAACAUGCUGUGAAGUGUCUGCAACAAGGACACUGUUGAUAAAAUUUGCUGCAGCCCCCCAGAUCUCAGAACAUGGGAAAAGAGGUUACCUAAAAAAUCUGCAAUGACCCAUUCACAACCUUAGAAAGGGUUUAAACUGACUCCAAACCCUUCCCACAAGGACAAAAAAAGACAGCCAAAAGGGAAGGAAAGGUACAAUAGAGAAAUAGUUCAAGUUUUGUGAUUUCCAAAAUCAAAUCAAUGCAAAAUCCUUUAAUAUGCAUAGAACAGAAUCAACAAUUUGUUUUUCUUUGGAAAAAUAUCAUCUGUUUGAGCCUUUCUCUUCGGCUAUUAAGCUAUUGAUAAAGCUUGCCAAUGGAAAAGGAAGCAUUAAAUAAAUGCCUACUUUUUCUAAAAGCCAUCAACUCGACCAAAAUCAAAGGCUUAAUCCUACAUUCUGCAAACCUAUCCGAAACUACUUCAAAAAGGAGCCUAGGCACACCCCACCCCUCUGUCCUAAGAAUGGGUAAAUUAGCAAAAUGUACAAGAGACAGCGUUUCUUCCAUCAGUCUCUGGAAGUGAUGUUAAAGCUGGUGUGCCCCAAUCCCUCUACGGUUGGUCAAUGCUCACUUUCAACUUGGGCUUUCAGGAGAAGCAGUGGCUA